ensembl:snRNA U1 U1 spliceosomal RNA
AGAGUCUGGCAAUGGGAGGCACUGUGAUCAUGAAGGUGGUUUUUUUCAGGGCAAUGUUCACCCAUUGUAUUCUAGAUGUGUUGACCAUUGCAAUUUCCCCAAAUUGGGGAAACUUGACUGCAAUUUGUGAAUGGGAAAUUGUUUUUACCUUCUUCCUA